rnacentral:rRNA from 1 species
CGUCAGAUGAACGCUGGCGGCAGGCUUAACACUUGCAAGUCGAGCGGAAACCGAUGGGAGCUUGCUCCCAGGCGUCGAGCGGCGGACGGGUGAGUAACACGUGGGAAUCUGCCCAUUAGUGGGGGAUAACUCGGGGAAACUCGAGCUAAUACCGCAUAAUCCCUACGGGGGAAAGCAGGGGAUCUUCGGACCUUGCGCUGAUGGAUGAGCCCGCGUCGGAUUAGCUUGUUGGUGGGGUAAUGGCCCACCAAGGCGACGAUCCGUAACUGGUCUGAGAGGAUGGCCAGUCACACCGGGACUGAGACACGGCCCGGACUCCUACGGGAGGCAGCAGUGGGGAAUCUUGGACAAUGGGCGCAAGCCUGAUCCAGCCAUGCCGCGUGUGUGAAGAAGGCCUUCGGGUUGUAAAGCACUUUCAGUAGGGAGGAAGGCUUUGGGCUAAUACCCUGGAGUACUUGACGUUACCUACAGAAGAAGCACCGGCUAAUUUCGUGCCAGCAGCCGCGGUAAUACGAAAGGUGCGAGCGUUAAUCGGAAUUACUGGGCGUAAAGCGCGCGUAGGCGGUGUGUUAAGUCGGAUGUGAAAGCCCAGGGCUCAACCUUGGAAUUGCUUCCGAUACUGGCACGCUAGAGUGCAGUAGAGGGAGGUGGAAUUUCCGGUGUAGCGGUGAAAUGCGUAGAGAUCGGAAGGAACACCAGUGGCGAAGGCGGCCUCCUGGACUGACACUGACGCUGAGGUGCGAAAGCGUGGGGAGCAAACAGGAUUAGAUACCCUGGUAGUCCACGCCGUAAACGAUGUCUACUAGCCGUUGGGGUCCUUAGUGACUUUGGUGGCGCAGCUAACGCGAUAAGUAGACCGCCUGGGGAGUACGGCCGCAAGGUUAAAACUCAAAUGAAUU